UUUUUCUUUUUCUUUUUUUGCUUUUUAGGGCCGCACCUGUGGCAUAUGGAGGUUCCCAGGCUAGGGGUUGAAACAGAGCUAUAGCCACCGGCCUACACCACAGCCACAGCAACACCAGAUUUGAAGCCAUGUCUGCGACCAUACCACAGGUUAUGGCAACACUGGAUUCUUAACCCAUCGAGCAAUGCCGGGGCUCGAACCUGCAUCCUUGUGAUUCAGAUCCAUUUCCACUGAGCUAUUAUGGGAACUCCGUAUUCCUCCUACUUGGAAGUGAAGCUUUUUUUUUGUCGUGCCUGUGGUGUGCAGAAGUUCCAGGGCCAGCCAUGACCUGAGCUGCAACAGUGACAACAACAGAUCCCUAACCUUCUGAACCACCAGGGAACUCCAGAAGUGAAGCUCUUGAUGUACAAGUGUAAAGGAUGAGGUCAAUUUUUCAGCUUGCUGGAGAAGGGAUCUAGGUUAGUGAGGCCAGGCGACAGGGGUGGUGGCUGAGCUGCAGCAGCCUUGGCGCCCACGCCUCGUUCCAUCCGUCUCUCCUGCCUCCUUGGGGGUGUCUCAACCUUUCUUAGUCUGUCUCGUGUAAGGUCCCUGUUGGCCACUUUCACUUCUGUAUUUUAAUGGUGUGGACUAAUUUCCACUUUAUUUUUGUAUUUAUUUUAACACAAUCACUUAUAAUGAGGCUAAUGACAUUUUGUCUCCAUGGUGGCGCAUUUUAAUUUGGUCUUGGAAAUGUCAAAGCGAUCAGGCAAUUUGGUAUCUCGGAGACACAAAACGUGGUGGGGACAAUGGGCCCCUCUCCAUCAUUCCAUCUCCUUGUUAUCUGCUAGCUCCUGGGGCCACCCUGUCCCACUUGGCCAAGUCUCAGCGCUGGCGUGGACAGAGACAGCAGUAAAACAUCGCCAAGACAAAAGGCGAGGCUUGCACACACGGUCCCCUUCCAGCAUGCACAGUGAGCAUGAUUAAUCAGAUUUCUCCCCCGAAGCUGCAAUGAGGAAAGCAGGCAUCAUUUUCCUGGUGGCAUUUUUGUGCCAACCCAUGUCCUUCCCUCCAUCCCAAGGUUUUCCUCUGAGCUGCCCGUAGUCUCCUUUCUCUCUGCGUUCCCGUUCUUUCCUUUAAGGGCUGGCAGCUGUUUCCCAUGAAGCAAGUAUUUUAGGCUUUGUGGGCCCAUGAGGUCUUGAUUUCAUAUUCUUCCUCUUUUUACAGCCCUUUAAAAAUGUAAGAAAUGUUCUUAGCUUGCAGACCACAUGGACUAUCCAGCAAUGUUGGGUUGGGUUUAGAGAAAGCGUUUAGGGGAAUUUAGUUGGAGGCUUGAGCCUUGUUUCCUUUGGUGAGGAAGUCAUUGAAGUCUCUGUUCCGUGUGACAGAGCCCCAAAUAGCCGGCAGGCUGAGGUUGGGGCUGGUGGCUUCUCUGAUGGUUAAAUGUCAGAGGUGUCCAUGGAGGCUGCUGGCUAUGGCUUGUUCUGAAGGUGGGACUCGGGCUUGGUGGGUGUCUCCCAGGCAGCCUGCACUGUCCCAUGUUUGUCUGAAAACUGCUACUGUCUGGUCUCAAUUUGGAGCCCUAAUUCCGCCCAUCCUGUCCUGCUCCGGAAUCUCUCUGCAUCUAGUGCCCUCACUCCCAGCCUCCUUGGUACCCUGUUCCCUCUGUGGUAGGAAGGAGACGGCCGUUUGUGCAGAUGGCAUGGUGCCAUCUGAGAGCAAGUGAGAGCAACCACAUUUGUCUUCUCUUCUGCCCCAAGGCUUGUGCCAUGGAUGCUCAUCUCUGAGAUGGAACCGGAGCGUGAAGGGAGGGUCUCACCGUGGCAAAAACUUCGGGGCACUUCAGCGAAACUCCAGCCUAACACAGAUGGAGCAUGGGGCCCAGGGGUCGACUCUCGCAGACUUCUACUUAGAAGCCACUUUGUCAAAUUCUUUGCCAGCUUUCCCAUGCAGUGAGGAUACUUUAUCUCUAUAAAGUAGCAAUAAGUGGACAGUAUAAUAUAUUUCACUUGUAAUAAGGUGUUGCCAGUUGCACACACUCUGUAGAGCAAUUAGUGUCAAAAGCGCUAAGCAAUGGCGGGAACUGCAUCUGAGUGUUUACAGAUGGGAAGGAUUUAUAGCUGGGCUUGUGGGAGCUGUGGCCACAGUGUGGGGGCUGGGGAGAUGCUGAUCAGUUGAGUUUAAAUCCACAGCCCUCUCAUGUCUCUGAAACUUCUCAAGGCAGGGCGUGGUGGUGCUGUGAUGUUCGUUCCUGGGGCUGGGGGAGAGUGAUGGUCCACAUGGGGCUCCUGGCCCAGGAAAGAAGGUGGGUUUAAGAAUCCCAAAGUUCUGACUCGAGUCUGCCUUUUAUUGUUUUUUUUUUUUUUGUUUGUUUUGUUUUUGUCUUUUUAGGGCCACGUCCGUGGCAUUUAGGUUCCCAGGCAGGGGUCCAAUCAGAACUGCCGGCCUACGCCAGAGCCACAGCAACAUGGGAUCUGAGCCGCAUCUGCGACCUAUACCACAGCUCACGGCAACGCAGGAUCCUUACCCCGGUGAGCGAGACCAGGGAUCGAACCACGUCCUCAUGGAUGCUAGUUGGGUUCGUUAACCGCUAAGCCACGAGGGGAACUCCAACUCUGGUUUUAAAGUCGACUCCUACGCACAGUGGAAACUAAUCCAAAUAAGAACCAUGAGGUUGCAGGUUCGAUCCCUGGCCUCUCUCAGUGGGUUAAGGAUCUGGCGUUGCUGUGACCUGUGGUGUAGGUCGUAGAUGCAGCUUGGAUCCCAUGUACUGUGGCUGUGGUGUAGGGCUGCAGCUGUAGCUCUGAUUUGACCCCUAGCCUGGGAACCUCCAUAUGCCUCAGGUGCAGCCCUAAAAAACAAAAAAAUAAAGUUGACUCCUAGGCCAGCAUAUUUCUAUGAAGCUCAUUUCUACAUCUUUUAAAAUGAGAUGAAGAAAUUAUCAGAGAGUUUAGAAUAUGGAGCCUUUCUGCCUUUCUCCCCACCAAGGGGCCAUUCUCUAGUUUGAAAGACAAUCAGCAGGACUUACUGCUUUGGCCUGGGCAGCUAGCCGGCCACCCUGUGUCUGUGUGACCUUUUGGCAGGGUGGGAGCAUGGUUUCCCGCUCUUGAUAGGAUAGGAAACAGAAGAGAAAAAAGUGAAAGAAAACCACAAGUCAGCUGUUGCAUCAAGGUUCAAACCUAGUAAGUCUCCAGUCUGGGGAGGGUGAGUUUCCUCCCACUUUUUAUUUCAUUGUGUAAUUGAUUCCACAGGCUUCAAGCGGGGGCGGGAUCUGGAGGAGGGUCCCCUGCAGGCACUGGCGUGGAGAACGGUGAUGAUGGUGAGAAGCAGGGCAGCUGGGCCUCCAGGACAGGUGAGAAAAGCUGGCUUGUGUGGGAAGCGGGCAGGAAGCACAGCGGUGGAUGGGCUGAGAGGGUCUCAGGGCAAAAGUGGGGUGGAGUGUGGUCCAGCAGCUGGCUUCCCAAGGUCCCGUGCCCGGCCUGGGAGCUUGCGUGACAGCUGGACAGGGUGUGAGUGCUUCCAGCCUGUCUUAGUCUGGACCUGGCAGGAGGUUUGAGGCUCUGCUCCUGCUGUCCCUUUUAGUCCUGGGGCUGGGGGUGCCAUGGCCAAUAACCCCCCAGUAGUUCCCCUCUAGAGGACAGGUGGGGGAAGGGUAGUCUCACUGGGUCACUGGUCCCAGGUAAUCCCACAGGAAUGAAUGUCUUUUUCUUAAAUAACAAGACUGGCUUGAUGGAAGGUGGAACACCUUGUUUAAAACAUCAUUUCAUUGAAGUUUUACAGGGGACUGUAUGCCGAUAUAAAAAGGUCAUGAAACUAAUUAAAUCACCACAAAAUGAUAAACCAGCCCGAGAUACUUAAUUUUGACAAUGUUACUGGGCCCUGGCAUGUGUGUGGAUGUCCCAGACCUUGGGGCACGAGGUGGUGGCGGGGCAGGGGUGACUCCAAAGAAAUCAGCAGGAAGCCAACGCACUCCCCCCCCCGACGCUGUGCAUAGUUGCUGUGGCCACAGGGUGCCCUUGGGAGCCAGGUGGGGGCAUCUGGGGCUUUUCUCUAUGUUGUGUCUUUGGACCCAAGCCCCGACCACCGGCAAGGGUCUCCCUGCAGAAUAUGUGGGCUCCUGGGUGCUCUGCCAGGUUUAAUGUCUACUGGGCUCAGACCGGGGUCCACAGGCCUGCAAGGACUGUCCCAGCUCCAGGUACCUCCCAGGCCCGGCUAUGCCUCUGGGGGCCCCCAGGUGGCGCGUGUCUGAAGCUGCCUCCUCAUUGCCUGCCUGUCGCCACCCCCCCUCCCCCCCACCUCAGACUCCUCUCUUCUCUCCAACCUUCCUUCUCAGUUCAGUUAAGUCCCCGUCUCUGGGUUUGUUCUCAAAAUUCGAAGGUUUCUAUUUUCGCACCUCGGUAAUUGGUGCUAUCUGUUGAAAGUAACUCUGGAACUCCAGCCUGCUGGGGUCAGGAGGAGCGGAAUUGAAUUAAAGGGCUAGAAAUUGGCUGGAAGCAGGAGGAGGACUCAAGCAGUGUGAUUUCUCCUCCAGGUGGCCAGCAGCCUCUGAGCCUUUGGAGCUGGCCGUGAGCUCUGUUCCCCACAUGGAUGGGAGCCCCAAGGCGGAGGGGAUGGGAGGAGUGAGGGUCCCUGCCUGGCCCUCUUUCCCCCAGCUCAAGGAGUGGCACUGAGGACCCAGGACAUACCUAGAAAAAGCAUUAUGUCCGUGAAAUGACAUUGGCAUGAUUAAAUACGCAAAGCACCCCCUGUUAGUAACUUUAAGGCUGGGAGGGAGACUGACAGGAGCAAGGGGUCUCCUGGAGCCAGUGGCUGAUCCAUCCACCACUCAUGCCAGAGUGGUGGUCCCAGCCCCACCGGCCAGGCUAGGCCAGGUGAGGCGAGGCAGGUGUGGCCCCUGACGCAUGUUCAUGGAUGCUAUCUGCUGGCGCCCUCUUGAGAGGGAGAAGUGGCUUUUGCUUCUUCUCCUUUGAUGUUACAAAUUCAUCCUGAGUGUAAAAAUAUAUUUUCUGCUGGCGUUGAUCAUCUAUUUCUGAUCUCCUGGAAGAUUUUUCAAUUAUUGGAAAUAACUCUUCUACCCAGGUGGCAGGUGGGCCGCCCUUGGUCAAGGCUGAGAUAUUUGUUCUCACCCCUAUCCAGCAGCGGGUCUGCCUCCAGGAUAGGGAUGAACUUUGGGUGUGAGUCUCAAAGAAUUUCAAAGGACAAACAAAAGUACUUCCCUAGGGGGUAGGAAAAGGUCAAAAUAAUGAACUUCUCCUGUGGCCAAAGGGUUCCUGCGUCUCAUUCCUGCACAUGGGGGGGGUAGCGUAGGGGUGGGGGACCAUUAAAACACAUUCUGAUUAGGACUGUGUCACCUGGUAGAAUAUUUCUAUCCAAAUAUUCAGGAGAAAACAUGAAAAAGUAGAAGCUAUUUUUCCUUACCAUUUGGAAUGCUGCCCCUCCCUGUGGUGGUUCCAGAAGCUUCCCCUCACUCCCCACUUUCCACGAAGGUUGCUGUACUUCCAACUUUGUAAAAAGGUUGAUGUCAGGAGGGGGCUGGGCUGCUCGUCCUUCAGUGACUGGAGAGCAGGGUGGUCACCUUUUCCUGAUUGGAAUUCGUGGAUACGGACUAGUGACAGAAGUUCCUUACAUGGGUGUUCCCUUUGUGGCUCGGGGUUAAUGAACCCAACAAGGAUCCAUGAGGAUGUGGGUUCGAUCCCUGGCUUUGCUCAGUGGGUUAGGGAUCUGGCGUUGCCAUGAGCUGUGGUGUAGAUUCCAGAUGCGGCUCAGAUCUGGUGUGGCUGUGGCUGUGGCAUAGGCCAAUGGCUGAAGGUCUGAUUCGACCCCUAGCCUGGGAACCUCCAUAUGCUGCAGGUGUGGCCCUAAAAAGCAAAAAAAAAAA
ensembl:lncRNA